rnacentral:rRNA from 1 species
CCUACGGGUGGCAGCAGUGGGGAAUAUUGCACAAUGGGGGAAACCCUGAUGCAGCGACGCCGCGUGGAGGAAGAAGUAUUUCGGUAUGUAAACUCCUUUUAGCAGGGACGAUAAUGACGGUACCUGAAGAAAAAGCCCCGGCUAACUACGUGCCAGCAGCCGCGGUAAUACGUAGGGAGCGAGCGUUGUCCGGAUUUACUGGGUGUAAAGGGAGCGUAGGCGGGAACGCAAGUCAGAUGUGAAAACUGGGGGCUCAACCCUGAGACUGAAUUUGAAACUGUUGUGCUGGAGUGAAGUAGAGGUAAGCGGAAGUCCUAGUGUAGCGGUGAAAUGCGUAGAUAUUAGGAGGAACAUCGGUGGCGAAGGCGGCUUACUGGGCGUUUACUGACGCUGAGGCUCGAAAGCGUGGGGAGCAAACAGGAUUAGAUACCCCAGUAGUC